rnacentral:tRNA from 1 species
GAGUAAUUAGUAUAUUUAUUAUAUUUCAUUUACACUGAAAAGAUUAAUUUUUGAUAAUUAACUACUUA